rnacentral:rRNA from 1 species
AGAACGAACGCUGGUCCCGUGCUUAAACAUGCAAGUCGAGCGGAAAGGCCUUUCGGGGUACUCGAGCGGUGACCGGGUGAGUAACACGUGAGCAAUCUGCCCCGAUCUCUGGGAUAACUGCGGGAAACCGCAGCUAAUACCGGAUACGACCCGGGAAGGCAUCUUCACUGGGUGGAAAGUUUUUCGGUUCGGGAUGAGCUCGCGGCCUAUCAGCUUGUUGGUGGGGUAACGGCCUACCAAGGCGACGACUGGUAGCCGGCCUGAGAGGGCGACCGGCCACACUGGGACUGAGACACGGCCCAGACUCCUACGGGAGGCAGCAGUGGG